AAAAACCACGUUAGUACAAAACGGGCCCUAAUAUUAUUAUAAAAUCUUGUAUGGGUAGGAUUUUUACCUGAACAUAGGGAUUGAAGGAUUUUCCCGGGCUAAAUUACCCCCCCUGAAUCCUGAUGUAAAGUAGCGACGUCUAAAGAAAACGAAUUCACCGAACUGAAAUCGCGGAGAGCUAAUUUUGCCUGAGACACAAAAUACCUUACCUUUGUCUAGGAUACUAUUUGAUGAUCUUUUUGUCAAUAAAUGGAAUACUUCAGCACAUCCUCAAAAUUUUCCAGAAGUGGGUAAAUGCAAAAGCAUUACAACUAUAUGGAACUCAGAGCAAGUUGAUGCAUCAAUUUGUCACUGGAUUCUUUUUAAAUACCGGUACGAAGUACUUAGAAGAUGACAUAAAUAAAAAAAUUCAAAUCAAGAUCUUCCCAGGAUCAAUAUGCAUGCUUGAAAAGGUUUUCAAAUAAAAGUUGGAUUGUAUCCUGAUCUCAAGAACUGGCUUAGCUAACUGGAAGUUUGCACGUUGUAUCGUGAUCGAAAUCGAAUGCGUGGAUUCUGAAUGGAGUUUUUCAAGUCAACAUGAAGAUCCCCUUUCACUAGUGACAUUCAUGGAAUGUAACAAG